UACGGAGGUGGCAAGCGUUGUUCGGAAUUACUGGGUGUAAAGGGCGUGUAGGCGGGGAGACAAGUCAGAUGUGAAAUACCGUGGCUUAACUGCGGGGGUGCAUCUGAAACUGUUUCUCUUGAGUGUCGGAGGGGCAGGCGGAAUUCCUGGUGUAGCGGUGAAAUGCGUAGAUAUCAGGAAGAACACCGGUAGCGAAGGCGGCCUGCUGGACGAUUACUGACGUUGAGGCUCGAAGGCGUGGGGAGCAAACAGGAUUAGAUACCCCGGUAGGUCCCUGA
rnacentral:rRNA from 1 species